rnacentral:misc_RNA from 1 species
GUAGGUGAACCUGCGGAGGGAUCAUUACCGAGUGAGGGCCCUCGCGCCCGACCUCCAACCCUUUGUCGAUUCAUAUCUGUUGCCUCGGGGGGCGACCCGGCCGUCCGCGGACGGGGGUCCCCCAGAGGACCAACCAACCCUGCAUCUUUGCGUCGAGUAUUGAAUACAAAUCAAUCAAAACUUUUAACAACGGAUCUCUUGGUUCUG